GAUGAACGCUGGCGGCGUGCUUAACACAUGCAAGUCGAACGGGAUCCAAGGGGUGCUUGCACUUUUUGGUGAGAGGGGCGAACGGGUGAGUAACACGUGAGCAACCUGUCCUUUUCUUUGGGAUAAGCAUUCGAAAGGGUGUUUAAUACCUUAUGUUCUGUCUGCCUCGCAUGGGGUGGGUGGGAAAGGCUUUGGCCGGAGUUGGGUGGGCUCGCGGUCUAUCAGCUUGUUGGUGGGGUGAUGGCUUACCAAGGCUUUGACGGGUAGCCGGCCUGAGAGGGUGGUCGGUGACAUUCGGCCUGAGUUGCGCCCCAGUCUCGUGCGGGCGGCAGCAGUGGGGGAUAUUGCACAAUGGGCGAAAGUCUGAUGCAGCGACGCGGCGUGGGGCAUGGAGGCCUUCGGGUUGUAUACUUCUGUUGCUCUGAUCCAGGCAUGCCAGUGCGUGUGUUGCGUUUAGGGGUUGAUUAGCGCCGGCUAACUACGUG
rnacentral:rRNA from 1 species